rnacentral:SRP_RNA from 1 species
GCUGGGCGAGGUGGCGGGCGCCUGUAGUCCCAGCUACUCGGGAGGCUGAGGCAGGAGAAUGGUGUAAACCCGGGAGGCGGAGCUUGCAGUGGCUUGAGAUCCGGCCCGUGCCCUCCAUCCUGAGCGACAAAGCGAGACUCCGUCUCAAAAAAAAAAANNNNNNNNNNUUUUUUUUUUUGAGACGGAGUCUCGCUUUGUCGCUCAGGAUGGAGGGCACGGGCCGGAUCUCAAGCCACUGCAAGCUCCGCCUCCCGGGUUUACACCAUUCUCCUGCCUCAG